rnacentral:rRNA from 1 species
UACGGAGGAUCCAAGCGUUAUCCGGAAUUACUGGGCGUAAAGAGUUGCGUAGGUGGCAUAGUAAGUAGGUAGUGAAAUCGUGUGGCUCAACCAUGCAUACAUUAUCUAAACUGCUAAGCUAGAAGAUGAGAGAGGUAGAUGGAAUUUCUUGUGUAGGAGUGAAAUCCGUAGAUAUAAGAAGGAACACCGAUGGCGUAGGCAGUCUACUGGCUCAUUCUUGACACUAAGGCACGAAAGCGUGGGGAGCAAACGGG